rnacentral:rRNA from 1 species
GCCUUAGUACCGGCGAGUGAAGCGGCAAAAGCUCAAAUUUGAAAUCUGGUACCUUUGGUGCCCGAGUUGUAAUUUGGAGAGUACCACUUUGGGACUGUACUUUGCCUAUGUUCCUUGGAACAGGACGUCAUGGAGGGUGAGAAUCCCGUGUGGCGAGGGUGUCAGUUCUUUGUAAAGGGUGCUCGAAGAGUCGAGUUGUUUGGGAAUGCAGCUCUAAGUGGGUGGUAAAUUCCAUCUAAAGCUAAAUACAGGCGAGAGACCGAUAGCGAACAAGUACAGUGAUGGAAAGAUGAAAAGAACUUUGAAAAGAGAGUGAAAAAGUACGUGAAAUUGUUGAAAGGGAAGGGCAUUUGAUCAGACAUGGUGUUUUGCGCCCCUUGCCUCUCGUGGGCUUGGGACUCUCGCAGGCUCACUGGGCCAGCAUCGGUUUUGGCGGCCGGAAAAAACCUUAGGGAAUGUGGCUGCUGCGCCUUCCGGUGUACGGAGUGUUAUAGACCCUGGGGAAUACCGGCCCUCCACGGGGGACCGAGGAUCUGCGAUACCUUGUAUCCAUGAUGCGAGCAUAAUGGUUAUAUGCCGCCCGUCUUG